rnacentral:rRNA from 1 species
CAGCAGCCGCGGGAAUACGUAGGUGGCAAGCGUUAAUCGGAAUUACUGGGCGUAAAGCGUGCGCAGGCGGUUGUGUAAGACAGGUGUGAAAUCCCCGGGCUUAACCUGGGAACUGCGCUUGUGACUGCACAGCUAGAGUAUGGCAGAGGGGGGUGGAAUUCCACGUGUAGCAGUGAAAUGCGUAGAGAUGUGGAGGAACACCGAUGGCGAAGGCAGCCCCCUGGGCCAAUACUGACGCUCAUGCACGAAAGCGUGGGGAGCAAACAGGAUUAGAUACCCCUGUAGUCCCUGUCUCUUAUAC